ensembl:lncRNA
CUUGUCCUAGUUCAGUGUGAAAAGACUGCAUGCAGUUGUCGUUUUCAGCGUGUUUUCUCUGCAAACAGCUCCUGAACAAGCUUUCUACCCUGCACCGGGACGAGACGAUGGACCCACCUCAGAUGUUUCUUUAUAAACGAUCCCUCUAAUCUGCCGGAGAUCACAAUACUCCAGCGUAUUUACACUCGCAGCAGCACACAGUCUGUUCUCUCCUGCACAAAUAUACAGCACCUCGAUUAAGAAAUAAUACAAUUUAGAAAGAGCGGGGUGUUUUAUUCUCUCAUGUUGGGGAAAUAUGCUCUCUAAUCCUCCAGUAUAAGGACCAUCUGUGUAAAUGUGGCUCUGGUGGGACGGGACAGUCACGAUUCUGACAUAUGAAUCCAGUGAUACGGAUGGUUACUGCUGGCGUCAGGACAAUCCACAUGCAUUACAGAGGAUCCGCUUACUAAACAAGUAAUCAUGAGACAAAGAGUGGAACUACAAAAAUAAAGCAUGUUUUCAGACUACACUCAGACAUCACAAACACAGCUCUGACGGCUCUACAAAGUGAAGGCAUGUCUCAACAGCAUUAAAUAUAAGACAGUUCUUGCCGUUGAGGAAAAUGAUUUACCCAGCACUAAUUUCCAGUAAGUGUCCUUUGUCAGGAUAUUAUUACAUUCCUGUACUCAGUCGAGCAGAAAUAUGAGCAGCGGGUGAAAGAGCUUCUGGACGGACGCAGGAUGGAUUUUCACUGGAAGUGGAUUCUGGAAGUCCAUGACUGGGCUCUGAACUCGAGGUUCAUGUGUGAGUAGUAAGUGAUCUGAUCGACUGAUUGAUGGCAGUAAAUAUGAAGAUAAUGGUGCAUAUAAAUGGACUAGAAUGUGUUUGAUUUCUACUUUCCUACACACUUCGUUGACGCCCUACAAAGCUUGUGUCUUUACACCCAUAAUUUCUUCACCCACAUGAAAAGACUAGUAGAAAUUGAAGACCCUGUUGUCCAACUAAACUCAACAGCAAGAGCUGAUUGAAGAUAUUCAGAGAUGUUUGAGAGCUGUCGGACAUCAAACAGAUAGGACGUACCGUUCCUUCCAGUGUAUUCUCUGCUUAUUCAUGAAGAACACGAAACCGGACAAUCAAAGCUUUUGAAAACCCUUCAAUCACGAGUGAAAUCUACAACUAUCUUCAUGCUCGACUCCGUGAUGUCUAGCUAAACAUAACAAGUGACACGAUGAGAGUAGACGUCUGACUAAUUUGGUCGUUAGGAGUGAAAUCAGGCCGAGAGGAGCAGGGAAUGAGCAGAAUGGAG